AACGAACGCUGGCGGCAGGCCUAACACAUGCAAGUCGAGCGAAGACAUCGGUCCUUGCUGCGGGCCGGUGAGCAACGCGCGGGAACGUGCCCUUUGCUCCGCCAUACCGCAGGGAAACGGGAAGUAAUACCGGCCGGGCCCUAUGGCGGAAAGAUCUUUCGGCCAAGGGUCGGCCCGCGUUGGAUUAGGUUGUUGGUGGGGUAAUGGCCUACCAAGCCGACGAAUCAUAGCUGGUUUGAGAGAAUGGUCCGCCACACUGAGAGUGGGACACGGCCCGGACUCCUCCGGAAGGCAGGAGUGUGGAACGGUAGAAAAUGGGGGAAGCCCUGAUCGAGCCCUGACGGUUGAGCGAUGAAGGCAUUAGAGUUGUAAAGCUCUUUUAGCUGCGAAGAUAAUGACGGUACCAGCAGAAGAAGCCCCGGCUAACUACGUG
rnacentral:rRNA from 1 species